UGUUGUCCGAGGGCAAAGCUGAGCCGAUCCAGAUCCGGGCCACCUGUGUGGGCUAGCCUGCCCUCCCGUCUGCCUCCUGUCCUGUUUCCAGGAAGUGGUCACCAGGCUGCCCAGUGCCCCUCGCUCCCCCCGCUUCCACCUCCCAGACCAGCCAUAGGGUGGCGGCGGUGGGGAUCUGAGCUCUGUGGAGUGAUGGGACUGCUGAGGUGGUCAAUAAUCUAUUACUGCACAUGGGCCUCCACAGAGUGACAAAUGUCUGUCAGAGAAAUGGGCCCAGAGAGGUCAGAGCUGGGCUACUGACCUCAGCCCCCCUCAGCCACCGCAGACAGAUAGAUAGGAACAUGAGCGGGCUGACUCAGACUACGGUGCAGAGAAAUGGCACAAGUAUUCAAGACGGUACCUGAAGUAGGUUAAGCAGAAACACAUGGGCCUAGCCUGGCGGUGUGGUUGGGAAAAUGGGCUGGGACCUGAUUUAGAUAAAAACACGAUGACCCACAGGCA